AAUGACUAUCUAAGCCCAUGUCAGUGAGAUCUUGCAGUCACUCCAUAAAGAGAUGGAGUCUAUAUUCUCUUGUCUUGAUGCUUUGAACUCAUUUUGGUGAGUACACUGUCAAAAGUUGAAUGUAUGCCAAUUCCUAGCCUAGUGUUCAAGAGGCCUUUCAAAUUUCCACUUGCCUUCUUGGAACUUUAGCAUUAACUGGGGAACAAGCCUGGGACAGUUUCCAGAAAAAAGUUAGCAUAGCGGGUCUGAAGUUACUAUCCUUGGAAAGACUUGCUUGCAAGAUGGGCCCUAAACUGGCAUCUGAAAACUUGGAUUUCUCAAAUAUUCCUCCCACUGAAACUAUUAAGAGUGGCUCACUGUGCUUAAAAUAUUUGUUUAAGCAAUAUGGUUUAUGUUGAACUCCUGCUUUUGUUCUGAGAGUGUGGAAUUUUGGUAUGUGCCAGGUAGAGGGUACGUAAUUACAUGACCAGCCCCUACCACAAAUCCUGGGCAUUGAGUCUCCAGUGAAAUUCCCUGGUAGACAACAUUUCAGAUGUGUUGUCACAGUUCAUUGCUGGAGGAAUUAAGCACAGUCCUAUGUGAUUCGACUAAGAGAGGACUCUGAAACUUGUACCUUGUCUCCUGAGGACUUUGCCCCACAGGCCUUUGCUUUUGCUGAUUUUACUUUGUAUCCUUUUGCAUAAUAAACCACAGCCACGAGUUUGACUAUUUGCUGAGGCUUUUGUGAGUUCUCCUAGUGAAUCACUGAAUCUCUGGAGUCGUCUUGGGAAUCCCUGGCAUGGAUAGACUGCUGAGGAAUGAAAGACAACAUGAAUCAGAGAAAAUUUUCCCACUUGAGGUUAUCUUAAAUCAGCUAACAGUCAGCUAACUGCCAGAUGUGAGUGAGCCCCAGAUGAGCAUCCAGAGAUGGGAGCAAGUUUGGAUUAUUUUCAGGGUUAAGGUUGAUUAUCUUAUUCUCCUUUCCCCUGGCACACAACGGGUGCUUAGUUGGGCAUUAAAUAUGUGGCUGAUUGGCUUAGCUAUUUAGUAAUGUGUGCUAACAUCAGUGCUGAUUACCAGAAUUUCUUUCUUCAAAAUAAAAUAGCCAGGAAGAAUUGCUUCACAGAGCAUCUUGAGGAAUCAUCACAGCAAAACUAGGGGUAAGAAAAUAGUCCUCCUUCGGCUGAAUCAGUCCAGUGCCAUAACGUAGGUGAGAACAGGCAAUAUUAGGUAGAUAGGCAGCACUUAAUUAAGAUAAAGUUCAGAAUGAGCCUUAAGCUACUAUUCCCCCAGGACCCCUGUUCCAUCACCUCAUGCAACUUAGGCACCCAUACAUGUGGGAAGGGAAUGGAAAUUGCAGAAAAUGAAUCAAAAUGAUGAAGAUGAGGAUGGUUACAAUUAAAUAAAUGUGCACAUUGGUAAACUGCUCCUGUCAUUUGAAUCAAUACUUCCUUCUUGAUCUCAGAGUGCUGCUAUUCUUCAUUAUAGGACAAUAAUGUAUAAGAAUUAGGUAAGAAGAACUGAUAUAUAAUUAUAUGUCUUUUUGGAGGAUCUUAAAAAGAAGACAUUUGAAUUUUUCACAUAAAUCAAUACAUAUACAAAAAUGUCUUAAAAUGAUUCAAAUUUAGUGAAAGAAGUACAUGAUUACAUAGCUCUUUUAUAAAAUAUGAAAAAUCUGGAGGGUGUUUAAGAUAUAAUAACAUUAUUACAUAUUAAUUUGAGCUUAUUCUUCAAGAAAAAAAUCGUAAUUACUAUCAUAUGAAUUUGUAACCAUAAAAUGUUAUAUCACAAGUUUUUAUUCAUUAGCCCAGGUUAAAUACAUAAUUUGAACAAAUUGAAGAGGAAUUAUAGGGUCCCUGGGUGGCCCAAUGGGUAAAGCUUCCAACUCUUGAUUUUGGCUCUUGUCAUGAUCUCAGGAUCCUGGCAUCAAGCCCCAGUGCAGGCUCUGCACUUGGGAGUGGAGUCUGCUUGUCCCUCUCACUCUGCUUUCCUCUCCCUGGAAUAAAAAAUAAAAUCUUAAAAAAAAAAAAAAAAAACAACAGGAAUUACAAGGAGGGUAGAGGGGUUUGAGGAGCACUCUUGGCUCACUGUCUUUUGAUUUUCU
rnacentral:lncRNA from 1 species